rfam:Drosophila ananassae strain TSC#14024-0371.13 Ctg01_15984, whole genome shotgun sequence.
GUGGGCUACGGCGACGUGGCGCCCAAGACCUAUCCGGGCAUGUUUGUCGGUGCCCUCUGUGCCCUCGCCGGUGUCUUGACCAUUGCCCUGCCGGUGCCAGUUAUCGUCAGCAAC